GCCGCGCGCGCAGAGCGACAGCCGCUGCCCGCCCCGCCCGCCGGGGUCGCCGCUUUGGGGGGCUACGGCUGUGCGAGGCGAGAGGCGCCCGAGGCGGGGAUGGUCAGCGGCGACCUCCGUGUGCCGGUGCCGAAGGGUGAUCCAGGUGCGCGGGCGGAGGCUCGUCGUGACCAGUGAGGCAGAUCCCGCCGCGGGACGGGAAGCGCCUGGCGAAAUUCUGCACCUGGAAGAAGGAGGGCAGCAAUGAUGAAACGGAGCAAAUGAUUCAUAAGCACCCGUUUUCCGUGUGCAUAAGCCACUUAGCCUCAACAUCUUAGCACGACCUGGAGUACACCUCUGCAUUUCAGCUCAAGGCUGGUGUCUGCCAGAAUGGUGCCCAAGCUCAGGUUCCUGAAGGUUUGACACUUUUAACUGGCUGCCUUCUAACCACAGCUGCUAGGAAAACAAAAGCAGGACUGAUAGUGCUCUUAAAAGUUUUAUGAAAAGCACAGUACGUGCAACUUUUAAUUUUUAAAUGAAAUUUGACAAGGCAAUGAAGAAAAACAACUGCUUCAAUUCCUCUUAAAAUAAAGCUACAUAAGUAAGGUGUCUUAGACUACUGUAUGUGGAUACAACACAUACACAACUUUACAAAUAGACCGGUAUUGUCAUUAAUCUCCCUAAUUUCUAUUGCCCAGAGUACAGAGCAUCACCUGCUCUGAGUGCAUCACAAACUAUGUCACUUUACUGUUAAUGCAAAAAACUUAGCAAAUGACAGAUCUGACGUGCCUGUCAGUGACACAACUAGUAAAAUGUAUAAGAAAGAAGAAUUUUCUUGUUCCUUGCAUUUAUUUGGGGGUGCAAAAGCUAUGCUGUCUGCAUUAUACUGUGCUGCUUCACAUCCCAGGCCUAGAACCCUGUCCGACAUGUCUUCCUCCGUCCAAUUUCUUAAUUCCUCUAGCUUAAAGGUACAAGUUUGACAUGCCCCAUGACACAGUCAGAAGAUGUACAACACCUCCAAGAACAGAGAGAAAACAGAAUCUGGUUGCAGGAUGGAGGUGAAAAAGGACUCUCUUCCCCCUGCAGGCCCAGCAGCUGCCCUACAUCAAUCCUCUCCAUUUUUUGACAGAGCAAAAAACUACUUCUCCUCAAAACACGAGUGUGUGUGAAGGCAAUGCCAUGAGAGGUGUGUGCUCCCAGCCUCACAGAUGCCAGGAGCACCACCUAUUCAUUGGAUGGCUGCUGCAAAGCUAAAUACAAUAUGCCUUUUCUGUGCUGCAUCACCCCUAACAGACUUUUAAAUGGAGAGGGAGUCAUGGUGGGGUUAUCCUUAGGGCCUGUCAGCAGAAUCAGCAUUCCUGGAACAUCCCUCAAAUCCUGCCUGAUACUCUCUCUGCUCCUUACUUCCCAGAUCUGGUCCUUGACUCUCCAUCUGGACAACUUGGAUGUGAAGUAUGUUCAUGGCCAGUUUUAGAAAAGGACACUGACAAUUCCUGCGCAGUCUGGUGUAUGCAAAGCUGUUGUUUCACAGGCUAAGUGAAGAGAUAGGUUUGUUAUCACAAGUGAGGUCACUGUUCCACAGCAGUUAUGUCCAGGCAGUCACAAGGAGACACUGAGUCUCAGCUCAGUACCAUUCUCACCAUGCCUGUUCAAACAUGCUCAUGUCAGCCACGCACACAUGCUUUUCAUUAACACAUCAGGAAAAAGACAUGUAAAAGCAUUUCUAAAUCACUUCUGACUAUCUUUUAUGGCACUCACAGCUACAGUAAAUCCCAUUGCAUUAAGUGGUUAGGAAAAAAAAAUAAAGGAAGCAAACUGAUGCCACAGGAAAUGCUGUUUGAAUUAAAUAUGCUGCCAACCCCGGGCUUGAAAUGCUGCUCAAACCAGGGAUAAAUUACAUUUGCAGAGUUGUUCUGUGAGGAGAACUGGCAUUGUCUUAUCUGCAGCAAUUGGGAAAAUUUACUCAUUUUUGUAUUUUGCUAUCUAGCCACAUAGCUUUUUUUGACACCAGCCUCAGAAGGUUAAAACUGUGUGCCACCAUCCAUCCACAGUAUAUGACAGCCUCAUAACAAGACAACACUCUGUCUUGGGCAAGACAGAAACUCUGUGUUUGUGGCAAGGUCUGACUUGCAAGAGAAAGAAGACCGAUCACACUGCUCAGUGAAUGCUCACUGCAGCACCAUAGCUGUAUCAUUGCCAGAUGUGCAGGGAAGACGAUGCUUUAGAAAUGCUUCAAAUUGACCUCUAAGCACAAGCAAACUUUGUAUAGAGCACACAAAGAAAAAGUGUGCAUUUAAGUGGGUGAGUAGUAAAGCAAAACCCUUCCCCCUCCCUGCUUGGCUCCCCAUCUAAGC